rnacentral:rRNA from 1 species
GAGCGGUAACAGGUGUAGCAAUACAUGCUGACGAGCGGCGAACGGGUGAGUAAUGCUUGGAAUCUUCCCAGUAGUGGGGAAUAACCAGUCGAAAGAUUGGCUAAUACCGCAUACGUCUGUAAAGGGAAAGCGGGGGCUCGUAAGACCUCGCGCUAUUGGAUGAGCCAAAGUCGGAUUAGCUAGUUGGUGGGGUAAUGGCCUACCAAGGCGACAAUCCGUAGCUGGUCUGAGAGGACGACCAGCCACACCGGAACUGAGACACGGUCCGGACUCCUACGGGAGGCAGCAGUGGGGAAUAUUGGACAAUGGGGGAAACCCUGAUCCAGCGACGCCGCGUGUGUGAAGAAGGCCUGCGGGUUGUAAAGCACUUUUAGUGGGGACAAAAAGCCGUGGAUUAACACCUAGCGGUCUUGAUUUAACCCACANGAAAAAGCACCGGCUAACUAUGUG